GACGGAGGGUGCUAGCGUUGUUCGGAAUCACUGGGCGUAAAGGGCGCGCAGGCGGCCCGGUUGGUCGGGUGUGAAAGCCCGGGGCUCAACCCCGGAACGGCACCCGAGACGGCCGAGCUCGAGACCGGGAGAGGAGGGUGGAAUAGCCAGUGUAGAGGUGAAAUUCGUAGAUAUUGGCUGGAACACCGGUGGCGAAAGCGGCUCUCUGGCCCGGUUCUGACGCUGAGGCGCGAAAGCGUGGGGAGCAAACAGGAUUAGAAACCCCCGUAGUCC
rnacentral:rRNA from 1 species